rnacentral:lncRNA from 1 species
AUUUACCAGGACAUCACUUUAAACAUAUAUAAUUCUGAAAGUUGAACGCCAUAGCUGCUCUGAAACCAAUUUAGGCCUUAGGGCAGCAUAUAUAGUAAUCACUAAUUGCUUGUUUUCUGCCAAAUUUCCCAUGUAGGACCAGCCAGCUUCAUUGCAAUGAUUAGGCGGAGCAGAAUUCUGAUUGUGGAAUACAUAUCUUUAUUGAAGGAUGAACAAAUGGCACCCACCUUUAAUUGAACAAGUAAAGAAUUAGAGUUUCAGUAAUAGAUUUCUCAUUGUUUAUCCCUGAUUCAAUAUCGUUGCUAGUUGUAUCACUUCAGAAUCUAGAAACGAAUCCGAAAUCGUGCUAUGUACAUCAGAACAGCUAUCAAAUUCCUGUUCCACUACGUUUCCACCAUAAUCAGGAAUAUUGUUCUUGACAAAUAGACAAGGCAGCAGUUCUUCAUACUCGUAUUCACCUUGAUGAUCGACGCUCUCCUCCGAAUCAGCUAUUUUCUGAAGCUCCAAUGCGGCCUCUACUGCCAUCUCUACUUCCCCCAUCUCAGGUCGUCCCUUACCAGUCUGGCAAACACAACAAUAGGCAAUCUCCACAAAUUUCUUGAAACAUUGAGGGGCUAUUUUCUUCUUCAAAUAAGGAUCAAUGAUGUCAUAGAUAGUCCCGUUUUCGAUACAUUUACAAGCCCAAGAAGUUAAAACCUUUUUUAAUCCCUUCCAAUGUUAGAUCAAUUGCCUUCCUUCCGCAUAACACCUCAAACAAAACAAUCCCAAAAGCGUAAACAUCAGUUUUUCUGGUUAUACGGCCAGUUAUAUAACACUCUAGAUCCAUAUGAACGACGGUACCUGGUAUUUUGAUGUUCAAAGAGCCAGUAGGAGAACCAGCUUGGCUCAUCUUUUACAGGCUAAGAUCGGAAAGCUUAGGAUUCCAUUCGUCAUCCAAUAGAAUGUUUCGGCUACUGAUGUUACGAUGGAUUAAUGAAUGCUUUGCUCCUGAAUGAAGGUAAUGCAACCCACGGGCUGCACCACUGCAUAUCGUUAGCCUCUGCUUCCGGGAGAGUGGAUCAUUAGGACGAUUACCAUAAAGAUGUUUAUUAAGUGAACCAUUGCUUAUAUAUUCAUAAACCAGAAGCUUUUCAUCUUCUUCGUCGCAGAAUCCGAUGAAAGAGACAAGAUUUGGGUGUCGUAGCUGACACAGAUCAUCAAUGAUUCCUUCGUAUAGAUCUCCAAAACCACCACGACCAAGGAGAAAGUCUUCACGGAAGCUGUUGAUAGCAGCUUUAAUCUCCUCAAGUGAGAAUUGUCGGCAUAGUCCCUCUGGGAAUGCUGAACAUUGCUUCCCUGGAGACCUUCCCUUUCCCCUGCUUUUAUACAACUUUGCAUUGUUAGGCGAUUUAUUAAUAAUGUGGAAGAAAAGUAGAAGGGAUUUUAAAGGGUUUUUCAUUGCAAGAAAUGAAGGAAGCAAGUUUGGAUUUGAUUGAAUAUUACAGUUUCUUCAGAUUAGCUUACAUUGUUCAUUUCAAAUGUGAAUUACAUUUUGGGAUUGAGCAUUACUUUCCAACUUUCUGGAAGUGCCAUUAUUGGGUCAAAGGAUUGAACUUCCUGGAUAAAAUUCUGCAGUGUGAAAAGAACUUAUUUUUCAGAAUGAAACGACAAUUUAAUUCAGAACGCGGAAAUGUGUUGACCUUUAUGUCUUCUGGUUUCAUUAAGCCUCAAAUGAUGACUUGAACCUUAGUUUGAGGCAGUGGCAAAAUGCGUAAGCAUAAACUUAAACAUAACAAGAACACAGAGUUUAUUUAUACUGUUACUCUUCAGAAAUUACAUUCUACAAACCCUUUUUUUAUUAUUAGCAAGUUACCAUCUCUUCUAUCAAUAAAAACUUUAUGAAGUUGAUUGAAACAUGUUUAUUUAAUACUUGCUUGUGAGCAAGGAGCUCUCAUUCAAGUAAACAUUUCCCCAUGGUGGGCUCAAUGUUUCAUUAAACAUUUUUUCCAGGAAAGAGGAAAAUCCUGUUACUUUGCAGGUAAUAACAGUGACAUUAUCCACUCCCAGGUGUUACCUGUGUAAUUUUCAUUCCAAGAACACAAUACAAACCGAGAAACUCUACAUUUUGGAGCCAAAAGUUCUUUCAGUUUGGAUUCUUCAAUUAAUGAACAAUUUAUCGUCAUAAACCAAUAGUUAGUUCAAUCAAUGAUUUUAGUAUAAACACAAUAUGAUCUAAACCUGAUCAAUAAAUAUAAGCUCGGAUAAAUAAAUCACUGUCCUCAUCCGGUCAUCCCUCUAUUGUUAAUCCAUCCAUGAUAAGUCAUGCAACAAUGAAAGAACGCUUGGGAAUUGAAUUAGCAGACUAUCUAAACAGAAAUUGCUAUCCUGACAAAGCAUUUAACUAUUAUUAUUGUGGUUAUUUGUUAGGGUUUUGACAGCAGCAAAAGAAGAGAACAAGACAUAGAACAAAGGAGCAAGAAGCUUGAUAUAAUUUACUUGCUCACAAAGGUGCAGCAAGGAAGCAAUCUGCUUUACACAACUGAUAUUCUUAUACAUUCAAUAUGAAAACAAUACAUUUAUAGUCAAAAUACAUCAUCAAAUAUUCAACUACCUCACUAUUGACUAUUAAAACAUUGCUUGUACACAUAAAUAAACUGACCUAUCAGCUCAACCAUCACCUAAACCGACCAAAACAUCAAGAACUAAGUUCAUUUUCAACAUUAUUGCUAUCUGAAUCUGAUAAGUCAGUAUAAAAUUUAGAAUAAUUAUGGCUACCAAGACCCACAAAAUUCCUAACAAAGGCAGAAAACAAUGCUUCUUCAUACAUACACUCACCAGAAGGAUAGAUGCUCUCCAUUUCGGAAUCUGCUCUCUCUUGCAGCUCCAAGGCUAGUUCUAGUGUGACCUCCACCUCACCCAUUGCUGGCCUUUCAUUUCCAUUACAGUGGACACAACUAGAAGCGAUUUCCAAAUACUUGUUCAAACAUUCCGGAGCUAUCCUUCCCUUGAGGUACGGAUCAAUGGCAUGAUGAAUGGUUCCUUCCCUUAGGGAUUCCUUGGCCCAAGUAAGCAAACUUCCUUGAUUGUCUGGUAGUGUCCGAUCCGAGUUUCUUCUGCCAUAAAGAACUUCGAACAAAACGACCCCAAAUGAGUAUACGUCGGAUUUUUCGGUCAGUUCCCCAUGCAUGGUAUAUUCUGGAGCCAUAUAUCCAUAAGUUCCCACAAGCCUACAUGUAUACUUUCUUAUCAAGGCUUUUGACAUGCUAGGAGGACCCAGUUUGGACAAGCCAAAAUCUGAAAGUUUGCAACACCAUUCUUCAUCUAAAAGUAUGUUUGAGCUCUUGAUGUCAUGGUGGAUUACAGCAUGCUUGGCACCGGUGUGCAGGUAAUGUAAUCCACGUGCUGCACCGAUACAUAUGUGUAACCUAUGUUUCCAAGACAGUGGAACGUAAUCCUUCCCAAUCCCAAAGAGAAAAUCAGCGAGUGACCCUCUGCUCAUGUAUUCUAACACAACGAACAGUUCAUUUUCCACAAGGCAGAAGCCGAUGAGGGAGACGAGAUGUGGGUGGCGCAACUGGCAAAGCAAUCGUACCUCAUUUUGUAACUCUCUCACUGCUCCUAAACUGCUUCGGCAGCGCCUGACAGCAACAACGGUUCCAUCAUCGAUAGUUCCUUUAUAAAGACUCCCGUAACGACCUAUACCAAUAAUGGAGUCUGGGUGGAAGUUGUUGGUAGCGGCUUCGAUCUCGGCUAGUGAAAAUUGACGGCAUAUAUCCUCCGGAAGUUCUGAACCUUGUAAGAGGGGUUUUUUCUUCGAAACGAAGAAGGUUAGAAGAGACCACAAAGGAUACUUCAUAGGGGAUUUUUUUUUUUUUGUUUUUCACAUUUAAGCAGUUGAAUAAAGAAACACUAGCAGUACUUUACGAGAAAGAGAAAAAGAAAAAGCCCUACACCGGAUGGAUGUUGCUUGAGCCUUGAAGUAGAUCGAUAGAGAUGCCACAAGCUUUUCCUAAUUUUUUACCCACUAACCCAUAAUUGGCUUGUUAGAAUAUACUAAUACUAGCAUAUUAGGCGUCGCAAUCAUGUACAAGUAUUUUUCAAUUUCCUGGAUGCUUCGUUGGAAGAGGUCAGAAACUAUCCAAAGUUUUAGUUUUAUUUAUUUAAUAUUAUGCUUGAAAGUCUUCCCGAAAAAAAUAUGGUUGAAAGAGAUACAAGGAAAACCAUAGAUCCAAGAGAACAGACCAGCAUCAUCAGGUUGGGUGUGGUAGUCUAAAGUAAAUAAUAAGAAAAAAAUGAAGGCACUUUAUCGGAGCUAGUGGAAGACUGGAAAGGUCGGUUUCAAGGAUGAGGGCAAAAAUUUAUUCAUGAUCAUAUUCAAAGUUACAGAUGAUUCGGAUACUGGUAAAUGGGAUUGGAUGCAGCGCCGACCAGUAGGGAGGGUCUCAACGUCGUGAUGGUCUCAGACUUGGCCUCCAAAUGAGGAAAUAUACAAUCGGCGGUAAGUCAUGAAGAUGAGUUGGCUGGGCAUUUACAAUUUUUCAAAUAAAAGCGUGUGGGGCCGAGUGAUGAACAGGAUAUGUUGCUGAAUAAGGUCAACGCGCCUGUUGGAAACUUUGUUACCUAAAGCUUAAUGUAAAAUUUAUCCCUUAUUAUUUAUAUUUUUUUGUCACAUUAGUUUUUUUUAAAUUAAAUUUAGCAUUCAAUCUUAAAAAAAAUAUCAAAUUUAAUCAUUGAUCAAUUGAAAAAUAGUUUAAUUGAUUUUUUUAAUGAAAAUAUAAACUAAAAUACUUUUAAACAUGGCAACUCACGUAACAAUUCACAUGGCAACUACCGUAACAAUUCACAUGGUAACUCACAUAACAAUUUAAUUUUUUUUUUAAAAUUACCUUUUUUAUAAUUUUUAUAAUUUAUUUUUGAAAUCUUUUUAUAAUUUUUAAAUCAUUUAUUAGCAUGGCAUACAAAACAAAUAAUAUAAUGUUAAUAUAAAGUGCAUAUAAACUGUCGUAUGAGAUGUCACACUAACAUCAUUAAAAUUUUAAUAUUUUAGUAAGCAUUUCUAUUAAAAAACAGUUUAACUCUUUUAAAAAAUUAAUAAUCAAAUUUAAUUUAAAAAAAAUAAUAGUAAAUUUAAAAAAAAUGUAAAUAUUAAUAACUAAAUUUAUCAUGUGAAUCCUAAACCCUUUCUUUUCUUUGUCAAAUAAUUGAGAGUCCAAAUUUUUUUUUUUUUAAUUUGGAUAAUGUUAUAAACAAUUGAUCACCAUACAUCUCCCUCUCUGACCUUUUUUCUUGACCCUUAGUCUCUCAUCAUCAUCACUAAUUUGACACAAUCCUUAGCCAUUCAACACUCUCUAGCAUCACUAUUUGCAACACAAUAUCACCUUCGUCAUCAACAGUAUCAUCUUCAUUAUUACUGCCUCCACCUCUCUUACCAUUGAACCUAGAAGCACCAACUACUUCAACCACCACACUAAAAAACCGAAACCCAAACCAUAAACAAUCAUUCAUACCAAAAAUUCAACAUAAGAAAAAUUCAACCAAUAAAUAAAACCAACAAAAUAAUAAAAAGAAUUGAUCCUAUUGUUUCGAAGAAUCUAAACCAAACCUACAAGCAGAGAAGAGAAAACAUUAAAAAAAAGAAGGGAAAUAAAUUGAAAAAAAAAAGGAGACUUAUCUCUGUACGAGUUUAGGUUUGGAGCACCAAGAUUCCAUUCAACAACUUGAACAACGAUGAGGUGUAUUCAGCCAAGGAGAGCCACAUAUCUCAUACGCAAGGCGAUUGAACGACGAAAAUGGUAGAUCAAGAUAAGAGAAUUUCAAAGGUGACUUGGUAUUUUCAAGGUUUUUAGGUGGGUUUCGAGAAUAUUUGAACCGUUAGUUUGAAAGAGAAAGGAAAGGAAAGGUGGACUGCUUAGUGGCGUUGCCGGAGCACGACUGUUAAGGAAGAGUAGCGCAAGGAAAAAGAUGAGGUAAAGGAUAGGAUAGAAGGAAAAAAAGAACAAGGGAAAAAAGAAUAAAGAAAGGGGAAAAUGAAUAGACAAUUAACUUAACCGUGGAAGAGAUAGAUUUAAUGGUAGAGUGAUAGUUUGGUCAAUUUUUUUAACGGUAGUAAUCAAAUUAACAAUAAAAAAUUAGGAUGAGCUAAAUAGGAUUAACCUCUAUUUAGAAUGAUUACAAGAUACUUUACCCAAAAUUUUAUAGAUUCUUCCCGUGUUGUAAUCAAAAAGUUUUCUUAAAUGUGAAGUAGGAUCCUAAAAUCAGUAUACUAUUUAUUUCUCUAAACUUUAUUAGAACCAAUCUCUAGGGUGGAGAUAUUUUUAAGGAUGCUUUUAAUAGAGUUUUAAGGUAUGUUUGGUUGAGUGAAAAAGAAGAAAGAUGAAAGGGAAAUGGAAAUGAAAAAAUGAAUAUAUAUAUUUAGUACACUAUCUGAUAAAGAAGAGUGAAAGAAAAAAAAGAUCAUUUUAAAUUAGAAAGAUAAAAAUAGAAAAAAUGAGUGAUAAUGUAUAUUAAUUCAAAAUUAUGUAAUUUUCAAAAAUAUUAUUUUCUUUCUUUUCAUUUUUUUUUAACUCUACCCAGCAAUAAAUGAAAAAAAAAUUUACUUUUAUCUUUUUCCUCUCAAGCACAAGUACAGAAAAAAAAAUUUAUAUUUUCUAUUCUUCUAUUUUUCUAUUCUUUCAAUUUUCUUUCCAUUCUACCAAUUAGAAUCUGAGUAUUUUUUUUUAUUUUGUCAAAGUUGUUUCCUAAUGCAGGUUACGAUUUUAACUUUCAAUUUUUAGGUUAAACAUUUUCCCAACUCUCUCACCCUAACACCCAAAGUUUCCCUUUAAACUAUUUAAAUUUUUGUCAAAAUUGAAUAAAUAUUUUAAAAUAUUAAAAUAGAUUUACUUAGACUAUUAUACCUAUGUUUAUUUUGGGUUCUAACUAUUAAAAAUAGAUUCACCCUUAGUUUCCCUUAAACUUCAGCAUAUGGCUCAUUGGUCAAAGGUGUUCAAUCUAUAAUUUCUAACUAUGUCAUAAAAUUCGGAUUUGGACUAAAUUAAUUAAGUGAGAUUAGUAUAUAAUUUAAAAUAGAAUAAUCACAAGUCAAGUAGGGAUUGAGAAGGUCGAAUAAUUAAGUGUUAUUGAAUUAAACUGGUUAAUAAAAAUAGUACAUGGGCUAAAUUGCUUAGUGAACAAAGUAUGAAGGGAUUAAAUUUUAAUUUGGUCAAUGCUUUAAACGGAAAUUAAACUAAGGUUAAAAUAAUAGUUAAACCAUUCUAAAUGGUAUGUUAAAGCUUAACUAAUGUUCGUGUCAUCACUUUCCACUAACUAACCUUAUACUUAAUAAACUAUUAGAUUAAGUGAAUAAUUAAAUUAAUUGUUAUGCUAAUUGUCAGUAUAAAUAUACAAGCUAAGCGCCCCGGGGGGGGAGAGAGAAACACAUAUUCAUUCUUUCUUUGCUUCUCCAUAAUCGAUUGUGAAAUAAGGUUUUAGCAACACUUCAAUUUCUUCAUUUGGCUAUCAAAUUGACAAGGUAGGUGGGCUUAUUUCUUCUUAAAUUUCAUAGAUUUCUUUAUUAUAAGAUGUGUUCUAGUUAACACUCCUUAAAGUUUGGUAUUAUGAAAAUUAAUCUAAGUUAUCUUUGUAGAGAAGGUUAUGGAAUCAUGAAAAGCUAGUUCUUAAUUUUGUUGCAAGUGGGAAAAAGCUUAGUAAGAUAAUGAGUUAGGUAAGAGUAAGUCUAAUUUUAGCUUAAAACUUUGAAAGUUAUUAUUGCUUUAUUAAGGACUAAAUUGUAAAGGAUAAAAAUUUUGAUGUUUGAAAAUAAAUAAUGGUAGUAGGUCCUUAUUCUAUAUUUAUUAAGUCAGAUUUAAAUUUGACCAGGUAAAUUGUGAGAAAUGGGUGUUUCAGAUGUUAAGGACUAAAUCAAAUAAAGUGCAUUCAUAUUUAGUUUUAUAUUUUUUUGUCCAAACCAUAUAUCUAAUGGAUUUUUCAUAUCCAAAUUUAUCUUACAUAGUUAAAGAAGACACCAAGACGUCGAAAAGCAAAAGGAAUGCAAAAGUCGUUGACGAAUAAAUAUUCUGGUUGGUGCUAUUAUAAUUCGAGUUUGUUAGGUAAAUAUAUGUAUAUGUUUGAUUCAUUAAAUGUUCGAAAAUGGUAAUCUAACAAUGUGAGAUAUUUGAAAGGUAUGUAUAUACUUGAGUAUGUGAUUUGUGAUUAUUUGGUUGGUUGUAUACAUGAAUAUAUGCUUAUCGAUGACAUAUGAUUAAUAGUAAUGAUAUUUAACCUAUUAACGUUGUCAGAUAGAGUCACGGGUAUAGUUAGCAUGCUAUAGGGUUCGUUUUGAUAGAUGGGAUAUUCAGUGCUAUGUGUGUGCAUAUCGUGAUAGUUCUAUAAUACCCUAGGGGUCGAGAACAUAUCACCAGCUCAAAUACCUUGAGGGUAUGAGCAUAUUUUGGUGUAGUGGGUGGAAUCGGUGAACUUGUGCCUAAUUAGCACUUUGGUCCGUAUUUGGUGUGAUGGUGGAUUGAUCCAAGUAUCUAUUAUUAUAUUUGAUUUUGUUAAUAGGGAUCAUAAUGUAAAAAUGAUGCAUUAAAUAUGUAUUGAAUUGAUAUGAUAUAUUGAUGUUAACUUGAUAUAUGAAUUUGACAUGUUAAACUAGAUGCAAAUUGUAACACCCCUUGCCCGACCUAAUUGUAAGGUCCGAGUUUCAGGAUGCUACAGUCAUUGUUGGAGAAACUAUCAUCAAAUAUUCAACGAUUAAAUCAUUUAAACAUUCAAAUAUAUCACAAAACACAUUCACAUCAUGAUAUACAAUCCUUUUCGAUUCUCAAUCAUUUAAAUGAUGAAAGAUUAUCGAAUAAAUAAUGGGGUCGUGUGAGCCUUUCAUUGAUCCACUAGAUACAUUCUGUAAGUCAGCAAUCUACAAGAAAAAUGGAGGAAAACAAAGUAAGCAUAUUGAAUGCUUAGUAAGUCCAUAUGAAAUUUACUUAACUUACCUUGAUAUUACAACAAUUAAAACACAUUGGUCUAUAACAUGGCAUCCUUUGACAUCCUUAUCCUUUCAUAUGUAUUUCAACAACGCAACUAGUAUGUUAGUUUAUUCACUUGUCAAAAACAUAUAACACAAUUCAUAUGCAUAUACAACAAAUAUUUCUUAUAUCAUAUACUAACCAAAUCAUAUUCAAUUUGCAAGCAUAGAUAAUUCAAUUCAUGUUAAUUAAUUUUCACCAUUUCAUUUCCAUUAGGUUAUUGUUUUCGAGCCUGAGAGAACCUUAGUAAACCAAAUUCGGAUACACGGGACUAUAGUGCUCACACAAGCUGACAGUGAUCAAGGUUACUCACACAAGCUGACAUUAUGAAUUUGCUCACACAAGCUAACAUUGUAUCGAGGUUAUGAGUCCAGGCAAAACCAACGAUACAUAUUAAUUGAGAAUCUACAACAAAUGUUAGGUCUCAUAUAAUAAUGUAAAUCCCUAAUCAUUUCCAUAUUUGACCCUAGUGGCAUGACCUAUGUAAACUAAUCUUUUACUAAGUUCACAAUGGCAUUAUUUCUGUAAUCGUAUCAUUUCAAUUCCUAUAGAAAAAAUAAAUAUUUCGUGCCAAUCUUAUAAACAUUUCAUAACCAUUUCAGUACCUAGUACCUAUUCAUAAUUGUCAUAUAUUUUAUACUCUGCAAUUUAGUCCAUUUGAUGCCAAAAUCACUAGUAUCACAUUUAUAUAAAUUAAUAAGCAAAAUAACACAAUUCAAUCACAACAUAAAAACAACAUAAUAAAAGAACUUACCUGGAAAAAUCGCAAACAAACACUCUUUAAGGACUAAAAAACAAUUUUACCUUUUCCUCAAUUAUCUUUGAUUUGGUUCAAUUCUCGAUCUAUACAAUAAUUUAAUUCAAUUUAUUAAUUUCAAACAUCUUAUAUCAUCCUAUUAUAUGCAUGAAUCAAUUCAAUUUCAUUUUUGAAUGCCCCUAAAUAUUUAUAUUUUAUUCAAUUUAGUCCCUAAAAUUGAAUUUGUCAUAUAUUUUAAAUUUGAGCUUCAAUUUCAAAAUCGAUCUCAAUUAUAUCCUUUUAAGGCCAUAUAAUAUCAAUAAUUAUAAAAAUUUCACAUCAAAGUUGAAAUUUAUACACUUUAGUCCUUAUGUUCAAAAACUAGCAAUUAGACUUUACAAUCUAAUCCCUUUUCACUUCUAAGCCGAAAAUCUAACAAUUUAAUAUCAAUUUCUUCAAGAAUUCAUCAAUGGAAACUUUUAGAAACUUUAAAUAAAAUUUAAACUAGUACAUGGGCUAGCUAAAUCAAGCUUCCAUGACCUCAAAAACAUAAAAUUUACAAUGAAAUGACUAAAUCAAACAUACCAAAUUAAAGGUCGAAAGUUUGAGCUUCAAAACCUGAUUUUUCUAUUUUGUUUCAAAAGAGAAUAAAAUGAACAAAAUUGUUUUGUUUUCUUUUUAUUUUAUACUUAGAUUAAUAGUUAAUCUUGAUUAAUCUAAUUAAACAUCAAUUAAUUAACCUUAAACAAGAUUAGCAAAAUUGGUGGAUUACAAUUGUCAUCCACCAUCGUUUUUCAUAUUAAAAAGGUCCAAUUACUCAUUUGGUCUUUUGGUUAAUUAAAAAUCUUUGGCAAUAAGCUUUUACAAGUUUACAAUUUAGUCAUUAUACCUUAACUAACUAUCAAUUCGACAAAACUAAGAGACCGAACUUAAAAAAACUUUUAUAAAAACCUCAUAAAUAUUAAGUAUUAAUAUUUAUUGACUUGAAUAUCAAAAAUGGUGUUUUGAAAUCGUCGGUUCUAAUACCACUUAAAAAACAGGUUGUUACACAAAUACCUUAAAGGUACAUUGGGAAUUAUAUCGAGAAAUUGAGUAAAGUACUAUCGAAUAAGAAGAAACGAUAAAUAAACUAUUUGUAUAUAUGUAUCUCUGAUAUUAAUAUGAAAUGAUUAGUUAGUUAACUUGAAAUAUCAUAUUAUUAUGUUUAUUUUAUUUUGUUAUGCACUCAUUUGCAUUUGAAUUAUGUUAGCACGACUGAGUAGCCAUUACUCAGCGUUUAAAUUUGUUUGUUUUUGUGCACAGGUCUUAGAUAAAGUUGAAGAAAUUCUGCGAUCAAGCAUCCAACUUUGAAGCUUAGCUCGAAAGCCAUUACGAAGCUAUUUUGUAUGUAUUUAUAUAUUUUGAGGUCAUAUGGCAUGUACUUAGGUUAGUUGGUUUAUUACCUAAGUUAUUUUGGGCACUUUUGGUAAGUUUUAUAUAAUGGUAUAUUGGUUUAUUACCUUUCAAAGGAAAUAUUCAUCAACUGUGUAUGUAACACCCCUUAACCCUUAUCUGUCGCCGGAACAGGGUUACGGAGCAUUACCCGACAUUUCUGAUCAAUUACAAAUAUUAAACAUAAUACCUAGCAUACACAUCAUGUAAUAAUCAAUUUGUCCCUUUUAUGAGCCCUCAAGGCCCAAAAUAUGCAUUAGAAUUAAAUCCAGGCCCGUGUGACCCUAUGACAUGCCCAUGCUUCAGGCCAUGUCUUACCCAGUGUAACUCUCUGACUUAUGUCACACAGUCGAGCCACACGCCCGUGUGCUAGGCCGUGUGCCUCACGGCGCUGAGACGCACGCCCGUGUCUCUGCCCGUGUGGAAAUACCUGAGUAUUCUGUUUUGAAAUUUUGAAUUGCAGGGGACAUACGGCCUAACCACAUGCUCAUGUGUAAGCCGUGUGUCUUACAUGGUUUGGUCACACGCCCGUGUACCAGGCUGUGUGGACUCAAAAUAAGCCUUAUACAUCAAGUUUUCCAACCCUGCAAAUCUUGAAUACCAAACAAUUCAAAUACCAUUUAUUCAACCAACCUAAAACACAAUCAAAUACGUUUAAAACAUGUCAUAGUAAUGAACUUAAUGAUCUAAUCAUUAUACCCUAAUAGGUAUUCACAUAUAUUAUUCAAAACAAUCUAAAUAAACACCAUUUAACUAAUUCCAAUCUCAUACCAAAACAACCCUAAAAUUUACCUAUUCCAUGCUCAUUCACACUUUAGUUCAAACAAACCAUUUUAUAGUUUCAACAUAGCACUUAUGUCCAUGUAUUGAAGUAAUAAAAUCAUCUUAUAACAUCAUUUACAAACACUUUCCAAAAUAACCAACUUAAGACCACCUAGGUACAUGCCAUUACCAAAAAGAGAAAUAUACUUCACCCUAUUUGAGUACGGGAUUGUUGUGGAUGCCGAUUCGACGAUCUGACUUUGACCUAACCUACGCACGAAAAAACAAACUGUACACCGAGUAUGAACUCAGUGGUAUUUCUAUAAUUCGAAUACUUUAAAGUAAUAGCAUAGUAAAUCAUGCACAUUUUACCUUACAAGUACAUUAGUCAAACAAUAAAUCAGGUUAUACUCUAACUUCGUUUCUCAUCAUUAGCUAUUUCAAAUAGCUUUUCUCACUUUGUUCACAUAUCAUUUAACAAUAACCAUAUCCAUUUCAUGAACCCAUAGUUCAUGUAAAUUCACACAUUUCAAUUGUAUAAUUCAAUUCAUUGUCCAUUCCAAUUCAUAUUCAAUAUCAAUCAAUUUUCCAACACAUUUAUUUACCCCUAUUAACAUAACUCGGACUCAGACGGAUACACGGAUCCAACCAAAACACACCAGUUUGGCACCUAGUGCCCCAUCGGAUAAUUCAAAAUAGUAAAUUGACACCCAGUGUCUCAUAGGUUAUGCCAAAGUAAAGUGGUACCCAGUACCUCAUCGAAUUUAUCCGAAGAAUAAUUUGGCGCCCAGCGUCUCAUCGACUCGAGAUCCAAGUAUCCCUGAACUCUUCCAACCCUAUGGCAUGCCAACUAUAUCCGACUCAGCCUGAUACCAUUAAUAGGGUUCAAAUCACAUUUCAAAUGCCUCAAUUAUCAAUUAUUCACAAUUUUACAAUAAUCACAAUUUCUCAAACAUUCAAUUUAAUAUCAAAUGCUAAUUACUCACCUUAUACACUUACCACAAAUAUUAAUUAAAAUACAACAAUUAUUAAUUAGAUUCAGGUUAUAGAAAUACAAAUCGUAAUUUCCGAGUCACUCAUCGUCAACUUUCUCUUUUCCUUUCUUAACCGAGGUCUUCAGCACAACGUUAGCUACGGAAAUUAAAACAAUUUAAAAUCAUCAUUACAUACAAUUUCACAUUGAAUAUUUCAAUUUAUAUUCAACUUUUGCAUAAAUUCUAAUUUAGUCCCUAAAUUAAGACUAACUUUAUUUCUUCCAAAACUAUUUCAUAUUUCCAUGCAAUUCCCACUUUAAACUAAUUUCAACUUUCAAAUUUCACCAUAAACCCUAAUUUUAAAAUUCUCUAAAUUUAGUCCCUAUUAUUUCAAAGCUUAUAAUUUGUUUACAAUUCAAUCCCUUUUUCACUUUUAACUUGAAAUUCUAUCAAUUUAACCCUUAAUUCUUCAAUUUAUUCAACAUGAACUGCAUCUAAAAAUCUAAUAAUUUCUAAAAUUUCAACAUAGAUUAAGUAGUACUUAUCACUAGGAUUCCAAAAACUCAAAAUUUACAAGAAAAUGGAUUAAAUUGACUUACCAAUCAGGCUUUGAACCUUAAAGCCCUAAUUUUUCCUUUUCAUUUUCUUUCUCUUUUCUUUCUCCCUUUCUUCUCUGUUUCGUUUCAAUACUCUCUCUUUUUCUAUCUUUAUUUCUUUUUUUUUAUGUUUUAACUAUAAUAAUAUAAUAUAAUAAUAAAAUAAUAUUUACUUAAAUUAUAAGUAAAUAGGUAAUUAUUAUUAAUAUAUGUAUUUUAUUAAUCCACAUGUUACCACCAUCACUAUACACUUGUCAACUUUUGGUUUAAUUACUUAAUUAUUCCCUUAACUUUUCUCUAUUUUAUAAUUCAAUUUUUAUCCUAUAUACAAUUUAGUCCUUACAGCUAAUUAAUUUUAAUUCAAGCUAGUUCAUCUAGCUAAAAGCUAAUUAACCACACAACUAACUUGUAAAUAUUUUUAAUAAAUAUUUACGAAUCCAUUUUUCGGAAACAGUGACCCAAAAAUACACUUUCCGAUACCCGUAACUAUCGGGUCAUUACAAUUCUCCCACUUUAAUAAAUUUCGGCCUCGAAAUUUAUCUGAAAAGAGGUGGGGGUACUAAGAUCUCAUUGUUUCUUCCAGUUCCCAUGAUGCUUCCUCAAUACUAUGACUUCGUCACAAUACUUUCACUAAGGGAACUCGUUUAUUUCAUAACUCUUUUACCUUUUGAGCUAAUAUCUCAACUGUCUCUUCUUCAUAUGACAAAUCAGGUCUAAUUUCAAUAUCCUCAGUAGAAAUAACGUGAGAGGGGUCUGAUCUAUACCUUUUGAGCAUUGAUAUAUGAAAAACAUAAUGAAUUUUUUGUAAUUUCGGAGGUAAAGCCAAACGGUAUGCGACAAGUCCAGCCCUUUUUACAAUCUCAUAUGGCCUAAUAAAACGAGGACUCAAUUUUCCCUUUCGACCAAAUCUUAAAAUUAUCUUCCAAUGCAAAACUUUAAGAAAUACCUUAUCAUUGACAAAAUACUCAAUGUCCCGACGUUUUAAAUCUGCAUAUGACUUUUGUCUGUCAAAAGCAGUUUUCAAUCUUUCUUGGAUUUUCUUGACAGUGUCCUCUGUUUCUGGAAUUAACUCUGGCCCAAUCAUUUUUCUUUCAUUCAAUUCUGUCAAACACAUAGGUGAUCGACAUCUACGACCAUAUAAAGCCUCAUACAGUGCCAUUUGAAUACUUGAUUGGAAACUAUUAUUAUAAACAAAUUCAGCCAACAGUAAAUAACGUUCUUAGCCAGAUUCAAAAUCAAUGACGCAAGCAUGAAGCAUAUCUUCUAAAAUUUGAAUGACUCGUUCGGAUUGCCCAUCAGUCUAAAGUUAAGUCGAGUGCCAAGAGAUUCAUGCAGUUGUUUCCAAAACCUUGAUGUGAAUCGCGGAUCCUGAUCAUAAAUUAUCGAUACAGGAAUACAAUACAAUCUCACAAUUUUUCGAAUAUAAAUUUAAGCAAGUUUUUACAGUAAGCAAUCAGUUCUAACUGCUAUAAAAUGAGUUGACUUUGUGAGUCGAUCAAUAAUCACCCAAAUAGCGUUUUUCUUACUUGCAAACAAUGGUAGCCCCGUUACAAAGUCCAUUGUAAUACAAUCCCAUUUCCAUUCAGGAAUGUUAAUAGGCUAAAAUAAUCCAGUCGGAACCUGAUCUUCUGCCUUGACCCGUUGACAAGUUAAACAUUUGGACACAUAUUCAACCACAUCCUUUUUUAUGCCAGGCCACCAAUAAGAUUCCCGUAGAUUUCUGUACAUUUUUGUUCCUCCAGGAUGUAAUGCAAAAGGACUGUCAUGUGCUUCACGAAGUAUCUAUUCUUUUAAUUCUGAAACAUCUGGUAUACAAAUUCAAUUAUGAAACCUCAGGCAACCAUGUUCAUCAAUGCUGAAAUUCUUUAACAUUCCAUCCUGAACCAUUUCUUUCUUCUUCAUUAACUUGUCAUCUUUUGAUUGUGCUAGCUUGAUUCGAUCAAACAUUAUCAGUUUAAUUCUCAAUUUGGCCAGUAAGCUUCCAUCAUCAUUGAUACUGAAUUGUGCAAACAUCGUUCGUAAUUCAACUGUUGCCUUUCUGCUCAAUGCGUCAGCUACAACAUUAGCCUUACCUGGGUGAUAAUCAAUAACACUAUCAAAAUCCCUCAGAAGCUUUAUCCAACGACGCUGUCUCAAAUUUAACUCUUUUUGUGAUAGAAGAUACUUGAGACUCUUGUGAUCAGUAUAAAUAUAGUAUUUCUCACCAUACAAGUAAUGUCUCCAUAUUUUAGAGCAAAGAUUACAGUAGCUAGUUACAAAUCAUGUGUCAGAUAAUUACGUUCAUGCAGUUUCAAUUGUUAAGAAGCAUAAACUAUCACUUUUUCGUCUUGUAUUAAAACACACCCGAGACCAUUCAAAGAAGCAUCACUAUAAAUAAUAAAAUCUUUUCUCGACUUUAGAAAAGUCAAAACCGGUGUCUCAGUCAACAUUUGCUUCAAUUUCUCAAAACUUUCUUGGCAUUGAUCAUCCCAGACAAAUGGAACAUUUUUAUGUAGCAAUCUUGUCAUCGGCAAAGCUAUCUUUGAAAAUUCAUUCAAAAAUCUUCGAUAAUAUACGGCCAAUCCAAGAAAACUUUAAACCUCUGAUACAUUUCUUGGUGCUUUCCACUGGACAAUCGCCUCAAUCUUUUUCGGAUCAACUCUGAUUCCUUCUGCUGAAACUACAUGUCCCAAAAAUACAACUUUGGACAACCAAAACUCACAUUUACUUAGUUUCCCAUACAACCGCUUCUCCCGUAAUGUUUGCAAAACUAUUUUAAGACGCUGCUCAUGUUCAGAUUCAGAUUUCGUAUAGACCAAAAUGUCAUCAAUGAAAACUACUACGAACUGAUCCAAAUAUGGUUGAAGGAUACGGUUCACAAGAUCCAUAAAAGUAGCUGGAGAAUUUGUCAAUCCAAAUGGCAUUACUAAAAAUUCAUAAUGUCCAUACCUUGUACGGAAUGCUGUCUUCGGCAUAUCACUUUCUUUUACCUUCAACUGGUAAUACCCCGAUCUCAAAUCAAUCUUUGAAAACAUAGAAGCUUCUUUCAAUUGAUCAAAUAGAUCAUCAAUACGAGGUAGUCGGUAUUUAUUCUUGAUCGUCACCUUAUUUAGUUGUCGACAGUCAAUACACAACUGUAUUGAAUCAUUUUUCUUUUUUACAAACAAUACUGGAACUCCUCAAGGUAACGUACUAGGAUGUAUAAAACCACGAUCCAAUAAAUCCUGCAGUUGCACUUUUAAUUCUUUUAACUCUGUAGGUGACAUACGGUAUUGAGGUAUUGACACUGGAUCUGUACCAGGAUAAACUUCAAUUACAACUUCAACUUCUCGAUCAGAUGGUAAUCCCGAUAAUUCUUUAGGAAAAAUAUCAGGAAAUUCAAAAACAGUUCGAAUCUUACUGCAUUGGCUUUCAAUAGAAUCUGAAUUAAUAACAUAAGCUAAGAAAGCUUCACAACCCUGAUGAAGAAGUUUAUUAGCUUCAAUUACUGAAAUAAUACGAGUUGACUCACUGGUUCGAAUACCGUUUACUUCAACCUUAUCACCAUUCUCAUUCUAAACAGUAACUUUCUUUUUGCAACAAUCUGAAAUCACCCUAUUCUCUCAAAGCCAAUCCAUUCUCAGAAUUAUAUCAAAAUUGCCAAAUGGCAUAAUCAGUAAAUCGACAAGGAAAAUUUUAUUUUGUAUCAUCAAGAGACAUCUUCGACAUACUUGAUCCACUAGCACAGUUUGCCCCAAUGGACUAGACACAAUUAUUGAUACUCUAUACGUUUUAGAUUUUAAAUCUCUCGACUCAACCAACUUUGAAUUAACAUAUAAAUGUGAAGAUCCCGGAUCUAUUAAAACAUAAACAGUUUUCGAAUGCAAUAGAAAUAUACCUGUCACCACAUCAUUUGCAUCACCCCCUUUACGGGUCCGUACAACAUAUGUUCGAGCUGGUACUCUGACCUCUGAUCGCUGAGUGGCAACAUCACUUUCUCUUCUAGCAUCACCUCUGAUAACUGAACCAUUUCGACCUAAUCCAUUACCUCUAGAAGCAGAUAUAGAUCUCUGUGAUGUAACUGGUGUAGCAUUCUCAUUUUUCGGGCAAUCUCUAAUGAAAUGCUCUGUAGAUCCACAAUGGAAACAACCUCAUGUCAAUCUCCAACACUCUUUUCUAUGCUUUUUCCCAUAAUGUUCACAUUCUGGAAUUUCAGUAUCCCAAGAUAGACCUCGUACACUGUCAGUAAAAACUAUCGUCUAUCUUCUACGAUUUCUAUCACCUCUAUCUGAUUUAGAACUGAAUCUCCAACUACCACGUGAUUCUUUUGAUCUUUUGGAUAGUGGAUUUGAACUAGUGGCUCCGGGACGUUUUCCAAUCGGACAAAUAUUUUCAAGCUUUUUAGCAAGACCCAAAACUCGUUCAACCAUUUUUGCUCUUUCAACCAAAUCAACAAAUUUAGUGAUUCUGUGGGAUACUAGUUGCACUCGUAACUCAUCACGUAAGCCCUGUAAAAAUUGCUUGCAACUAUCAGCUUCUGUAGGCACAAAUUCAGCUGCAUAUCUACUGAGUCAUGAGAAUUCCCGUUCAUAAUCAACUACUGACGUAUCACCUUAUUUUAAUGUCAUAAACUCUUAUUUUCGGUCUUCAAUUUAUAGCUCACCUACAUAUUUCUUCUGAAACUCUCUCUGAAAGAAAUCUCAAUUUACCUGUUUGGCUGGUACAUGUCGGGUUAUUGAUUCCUACCAAACAUAUGCUUCCCCUUGAAGUAAAGAAACAACACACAAGAAACUUUUUCGAAGAGUACACUCAAGUUGCUACAGAAUUCUUUUUAUGGAUUCCAUCCAAUUUUCAGCUGUAGAGGGUUCGACUCCUUUCAACCCCAAAAAUUUAGUAGCACUAUACUUAUGUAAUUCUUUAAUUAGGCUCCAACGGGUGAUAGGAGUAGAUGUCGUAGCAGGUGCAGUCCCUGCUACUCGUUGAAGAGCUUCAACAAUAGCUCUAAGUAAUUAUGUAUCAUCUCUUUCUCUAACAUUACCUCUUUUGACAUUUGGUGGUUGAUUACCCACUGGAUUUACACUCGGUAUUGCUAAAUCUGUUUCAUCUAAUUCACGAGAUUCUUCAUCCCCAGUAUACAUUUCUUGAUCAAUAUCAUCAAUAUAUUCAUCCGACAUCUUUAACUAUAAAACAGAAAUAAAUAAAUAUAUCAGCAUCCAAAUCCUGACUCAAUUAUGACAUAUACCUCUAGACUCAAUUUUGAGCUUGAUUUAGUCUGAGAAUCAGCUAAACCUACAAAGCUCUGAUACCAUUAAAUGUAACAACCCCUAACUCAUUCCGUCGCUAGAACAGGGUUACAGAGCAUUACUCGACAUUUUAGAUCAAUUACAAAUAUUAAACGUAAUAUCUAGCAUACACAUCAUGUAAUAAUCAUUUUGUCCCUUUUAUGGGCCCUCGAUGUCCAAAAUAUGCAUUAAAAUUAAAUCGGGACUCAAUCGAAAGGUCAGAGAAUUUUUCAUGAAAUUUCAAAAUUUUUCCUAAGUACAGGACUCACACGCCCGUGUGGUCAAGGGACAUGCCCGUGUGACCCUAUAACAUGUCCGUACUUUAGGCCGUGUCUUACCCCGUGUAACUCUCUAACUUAUGUCACACGACCGAGCCACAUGCUCGUGUGCUAGGCCGUGUGCCUCAAACGAUUGAGACACACACUCAUGUAUCUGUUUGUGUGGAAAUACAUAAGUAUUCUAUUUUGAAAUUUUGAAUUGCAGGGGACACAUGGCCUGUAACAGCCCAUUUUUAGUAAAAUCAGAACAGUGUUUUCGGGACAACAAAUCCAAAGUUGAGAAAUUUUACCGUUUGUGUACUCAAUUUGUGAAAAAGGACUAAAUCGCAUAAAGUACAAAAGUUGGGUUCUAUUAGCUAAAUGUGUUAAAUAGCUAUAGAACUUUAAAGUGGAGGUCCUUAUAUGAUAAUUAGACCAUUAAAUGAGUUAGUGGAUGUGCAUGGCUUGGCAUUUAUGAAAUUAUUAAAGUUAGGUAAAGGUAUUUUGGUAAAAAGGCAAAUAAAAAUAAAAUAAACAAAAGAAAUAAAGAUAUCAUCUUUGUUUCAUCUUCCCCAACCGUUUAUACUAGCAAAAAAAAUCCAUGAAAGCUUGAAAAUUUUGGCUAAGAAUAUCCCUUGCAUGGUAAGUGAUUUUUGUCCCCUUUUUGUUGAUUUUUAUAUUUUCGGAAUCGUUGUUGCUUAAUCUAUUUAAUGAGAGGGCUAAUUUGCAAAACCAUUGAAUAUUUUAAUAUUUUCCAUUGAUGAGUAUAAUAGGUAUUUGAAGUUUAAUGGAAGAAUAUGAGUCCUUGUUGAUAGUUAAACACUUUUUGUUAAGUGAAUUUUUGUGAAAUUGACAAUUAAUGGCUAAAUUGAUAAAUGUGAAAACUUUAUGGUUAAAAUGUGAAAUAAAUAAAAUGUGUGGCCUUUUAGGGACACUAUUGAUAUUCGGCUAUAGUAGGAUUGUACUAAAUUGCAUGAAUGUGCAUUUUUAUGUUAUAGGGACUAAAUUGUAAAGAAGUUGAAAUAUUAGGGGCAAAAAUAUAAUUUUUCCAUAAAGUGAAUUAUGGGCUGUUUUGAUACCAUGAACAUUUUUCUAAGCUCAAUUCUAGUUAAAAAUGGUUAAUUUGCAUGUUUUGAGCUAAGAGCCAAAAUUGAAUAAAAGUAAAACUUUAGGGGUAAUUUUGUAAAAAUGUAAAAAAUGACCAAAUUGUAUGAAAUGAAGUGUUUUACUGUCUAAAUUAGUAUAUUGAAUGAAAUUAUUAAUUUAGAUCAAGAUUGGGUGAAAAAUCGAGGAAAAUAUAAAAUUACCAAAAUGCCCCUGAACUUCGGUGUUUCUACAAUUUAGCCAGGUAAGUUCGUAUGUUAAUAAAUACUGUUAAAUUGUGCUAUAAAUUUAUUAAUAUUGUUGAAUUGAAUCACAAUGCGGAUUGGAAAUGAGUACGAGCACAAUCGACAGAGUUAUGACAUCCGAAAGUCCCGUACGAACUUUAGGAAUAGCUUAGGACCUAAAUGUCAUGACAUUAGGAUUACCGGGAUAUGAGAUUCGUGUAAGACCAUAGCUGGUCUAUUGGCAUCGACAUACUAUAACAUGUAAGACCAUAUCCGGGAUUGGCAUUGUUAAGUUAUACGAGAUUUCCUAGUAUCUUUAGCGAUUCCAAAUGGUUCAACGGGCAUAGUCAAGACGAUAAUGAAAGUACAAUCAAAUUAAGUGUAAUAGGUACGUACAAAACCUAUAUAUGAGAAUUGAAUGAAGGUAAUUUGGUAAGUUAUUAUUGUAUCAUCUGUAUGAAAUGAGAAAGAUUUAUGUAUAAGGAUGUUUCAUGCCAAAAAUGUGUUUAUUUGGCCAUAAUGAGGUAUGGAUUGAAUGAUGUGUGAGAUAUGAGUUAUAGAUGUUUUAACUAAAUAUACAUAUGGCACAUAGUGUGCAAAAUACCGUUAUUUGAUGAUAUUUCACAUGAUUUAUCUUUACUAAAUAAAAUGUGAUUGAUAUUGGAUUGAAUAAAGUUAUAAAUAUAUAUAUUCGCUUAUGUUCGUGUAAGUGUGAAUGGUUGGACAACAAUGUAAUUGAUCCACACGAUCAAAUAAAUAAAUAAACUUGUGAAACUCUUGGUUAACUAUGUGAUUAGAUUUAUGGUAUAUAGGUGAAAACGAAUAAAUUACAUUAUAGUAUUUUUAAAUGCUUAAUAUGUGCUUAUUCGAUAAAAUGAGUUUAAUAUCAUACGAGCUUACUAAGUUUUAUAGUUUACUUUGUGUUAUUUUUCUAUGCUUUUUAGUGAUUCGGACGUUCACUCGGGUUGGAAGUCGGUGGAGAUCACAUCACAUUAUUCGGUUUUUUAUUUCGGUAUUUAUACACUUGUGACUUAGUUAUAUGGCAUGUAUAGGCUUGAAUUAUGUGGAAAUGUGUUUGGUAAUGUUGAUUGUGAGUUUGGCUUAUAUAUGAUGUCAAUGUUGGUGUGUAUUUGGCCAUUUAAGUUGGCUUAAUUCAUAAGUUUUAUAAGUGAUAUAUGAUGCGUAUAUAUAUAGAUAGCCUCAUGUUUUGGCAUGUUUGGUAUGAUAUAGGGAUGAUGAAUUGGUACAUUUUGAUGAUGAUAACUAAGACCUAAAUAUGUAAUAUGGAAGUAAACCUAUAAAUCUUGAUGCAUGAGAAUUAGUAAGUUUGGGCUUGACUAAGUAUGAUGUUUUGAGUAUGUAUAAGUUGACAAGAUAUUGCCAUGAUCAUGACUUGUUGAACGAUGUUUAAGUAAUCAAAUAUGUUGUGAUAUAUGACUUUGAAGUUAUAAAUGUGUUUGAGCAAAUAAGGGUGACAAAUGGCUUGGAAAAUAGCCUCAAAGUUGUCCACACGGGUAGACAUUCGGGCAUGUGUCUAGGCCGUGUGUGACACACGGCCUGCCUCUAUGGGCAUGUAGUUCAGUCGUGUGUCCCCUGCAUAUUAUAUUUUAGCUUCGAAUUGGUUACACGGGCUGAGACAAGGUUGUGUGAGGGACAGGGCCUGGAGACAUAGGCGUGUGCUCUGGCUGUGUGAAGUCUGCACUUAAUUUCAAGAAUUUAAUUCACCACACGGCCUAAGGAUACGGUCGUGUGCCUUGGCCGUGUGACCCCAUUUUGUGCAUGAUGUCAUAAACAGAAACUUACACGGGUUGAGGACACGGGAGUGUACCAAGCCAUGCGGGCAUGUGUGACCACACGGCCUACCCACACGGGCGUGUGGCCCUGUUUCAUGAUAAAAUUUUUUUAAGUUUUCCAAAAGUUUCCAAAGUUCUCGGUUUAGUCUCGAACCACCCCCGAUGUAUGUUUUGGGUCUCGUAGGCUCGUAUAAGAGACGUUGUGAAUGUGUAUGAAAAGUUUUAAAUUGGAUGAGAUUUUAUAGCCCGAUUUUGCAUGAAUGUUUAUGUUUUAAGUCCAGUAAUGCCUCGAACCCUGUCCUAGCAUCGGAUACAGGUAAAGGGUGUUACAUGGCCUAACCACACGUCCAUGUAUAAGCCAUGUGUCUUACAUGGUCUGGUCACACGCCGGUGUGCCAGGCCAUGUGGACUCAAAAUGAGCCUUAGACAUCAAGUUUUCCAACCUUGCAAAUCUUGAAUACCGAGCAAUUCAAAUAUCAUUUAUUCAACCAAUCUAAAGCACAAUCAAAUACGUUAACAUGUCAAAAUAAUGAACUUAAUGAUCUAAUCAUUAUACCCUAAUAGGUAUUCACAUAUAUUAUUCAAAACAAUCUAAAUAAACACCAUUUAACCAAUUCUAAUCUCAUGCCAAAACAACACUAAAAUUUACCUAUUCCAUGCUCAUUCACACUUUAGUCCAAACUAGCCAUUUUAUAGCUUCAACAUAACACUUAUGUCCAUGUAUUAAAGUAAUAAAAUCAUUUUAUAACAUCAUUUACAAACACUUUCCAAAAUAACCAACUUAAGACCAUCUAGGUACAUGCUAUUACCAAAAAUAUAAAUAUAUUUCACCCUAUUUGAGUACGGGAUUAUUGUAGAUGCCGAUUCGACGAUUUGACUUUGACCUAACCUGCGCAUAGAAAAACAAACCAUACGCUAAGUAUGAACUUAGUGGUAUUUCUAUAAUUCGAAUACUUUAAAGUAAUAGCAUAGUAAAUCAUGCACAUUUUGCCUUACAAGUACAUUAGUCAAACAAUAAAUCAAGUUAUACUCUAACUUUCGUUUCUCAUCAUUAGCUAUUUCAAAUAGCUUUUCUCACUUUGUUCACAUAUCAUUUCACAAUAACCAUAUCCAUUUCAUGAACCCAUAGUUCAUGCAAAUUCACACAUUUCAAUUGUAUAAUUCAAUUCAUUGUCCAUUGCAAUUCAUAUUCAAUAUCAAUCAAUUUUCCAAUACAUUUAUUUACCCCUAUUAACGUAACCCAGACUCGGAUGGAUACACAGAUCCAACCAAAACACACUAGUUUGGCACCCAGUGCCUCAUCGGAUAAUUCGAAGUAAUAGAUUGACACCUAGUGUCUCAUCGGCCAUGUCGAAGUAAAGUGGUACCUAGUACCUCAUCGAAUUUAUCCAAAUAAUAAUUUAACGCCCAACGUCUCAUCGACUCAAGGUUGAAGUAUCCCUGAACUCUUCCAAUCCUAUGGCAUGCCAACUAUAUCUGACUCAGCCCGAUACUGUUAAUAGGGUUCAAAUCACAUUUCAAAUGCCUCAAUUAUCAAUUAUUCACAAUUUUACAAUAAUCAAAAUUUCUCAAACAUUCAAUUUAAUAUCAAAUGCUAAUUACUCACCUUAUAAACUUACCACAAAUAUUAAUCAAAAUUACAACAAUUAUUAAUUAGAUUCGAAUUAUAGAAAUACAAACCGUAAUUUUUGAGUCACUCUUCGUCAACUUUCUCUUUUCCUUUCUUAGCUGAGGUCUCGAGCACAACGUUAGCUACGAAAAUUAGAACAAUUUAAAAUCAUCAUUACAUACAAUUUCACAUUGAAUAUUUCAAUUUAUAUUCAAAUUUUGCAUAAAUUCUAAUUUAGUCCCUAAAUUAAGACUAACAUUAUUUCUUCCAAAACUAUUUCAUAUUUUCAUGCAAUUCCCACUUUAGACUAAUUUCAACUUUCAAAUUUCACCAUAAACUCUAAUUUCAAAAUUCUCUCAAAUUAGUCCCUAUUACUUCAAAGCUUAUAAUUUGUUUUACAAUUCAAUCCCUUUUUCACUUCUAACUUGAAAUUCUAUCAAUUUAACCCUUAAUUCUUCAAUUUUUCAACAUGAACCACAUUUAAAAAUCUAAUAACUUCUAAAAUUUCAACAUAGAUUAAGUAGUACUUAGCAUAUGAUUCCAAAAACUCAAAAUUUACAAGAAAAUGGAUUAAAUUGACUUACCAAUCAAAUUUUGAACCUUAAAACCCUAAUUUUUCUUUUUUUUUCUUUCUCCCUUUCUUCUCUGUUUCAUUUCAAUACUCUCUCUUUUUUUAUCUUUAUUUCUUUUCUUUUUUUAUGUUUUAAUUGUAAUAAUAUAAUAUAAUAAUAAAUAAUAUUUAUUUAAAUUAUAAGUAAAUCGGUAAUUAUUAUUAAUAUAUGUAUUUUAUUAAUCCACAUGUUACCACCAUCACUAUACACUUGUCAACUUUUGGUUUAAUUACUUAAUUAUUCCCUUAACUUUUCUCCAUUUUAUAAUUCAACUUUUAUCCUAUAUACAAUUUAGUCGUUACACCUGAUUAAUUUUAAUUCAAGCUAAUUCAAC